GGAACGUGAGGUCAUGGAAAUGCCCAUUUCUAAAGGGUGACUGCUGGAUUGUAUUAUUGUUAUGCAGGUGGCUAGAGUUGGGGACUGGCAUUUGAAGAUGAGAAGUCACAUCAAGGCUAGAGAAAAUGUACAGAUCUACAGACACGUGGAGCUAUUGGUGUGCUGUGCAAACUAAAAUUCACUAGAAUACCCACCUCCUAAUGUAUUUGAGUUUAUAGGAUUCAGCUGUUGGGCCCAGAAGACUGGAAUUCUAGUGAGUUACUGGAGAUAGGCUGCAAGAAGAUACCUAGCAAAACUAUUAGAGAUAUUUGAUUCAGGCUCUUGAAGAAAAAGGGUAAGAAAUUGUCUUAUUUAAUGGAAAAGGUAUGUCAUUGGAGAACAACAGACUUAUUAAAUUUAUCUUGCUAAUGUUGACAAGUGAUGUGGAAAGAGGCUCCUGAGAGGGGAAAUUUUGUCUUAGUUUGAAAACAAACCCAUUGAGAAUUACAUAAGAUAAAUCCUAGGUUUUAUAUAUUUAAAAACUAUCUACUUUGAGAUUAGCACAUUUAAAAGACUCAAAUCAAAAUUGUAGUUGAACACAGUUUUUUCCUAUUACAUAUCUGUUGAUAUAAUUGUGAUUAUGAUAUAUUUGGAAUCAUAU
rnacentral:lncRNA from 1 species